rnacentral:rRNA from 1 species
AGUGAACGCUGGCGGUAGGCCUAACACAUGCAAGUCGAACGGCAGCACAGUAAGAGCUUGCUCUUACGGGUGGCGAGUGGCGGACGGGUGAGGAAUACAUCGGAAUCUACUUUUUCGUGGGGGAUAACGUAGGGAAACUUACGCUAAUACCGCAUACGACCUACGGGUGAAAGCAGGGGAUCUUCGGACCUUGCGCGAUUGAAUGAGCCGAUGUCGGAUUAGCUAGUUGGCGGGGUAAAGGCCCACCAAGGCGACGAUCCGUAGCUGGCCUGAGAGGAUGAUCAGCCACACUGGAACGGAGACACGGUCCAGACUCCUACGGGAGGCAGCAGUGGGGAAUAUUGGACAAUGGGCGCAAGCCUGAUCCAGCCAUACCGCGUGGGUGAAGAAGGCCUUCGGGUUGUAAAGCCCUUUUGUUGGGAAAGAAAAGCAGCAGGUUAAUACCCCGCUGUUCUGACGUUACCCAAAGAAUAAGCACCGGCUAACUUCGUG